AUAAUUUUCACAUAUAUGAUCACAACGAUUCUGGGAGGUGUCAGAAAGCUGGCUCCGCAACUAUCACCAACACAUGCCUACCAGCAGAACACAAGCAAAGCGGGGCAAAACCUGGAGUCCAAGGACCAGCUCUCCACACGACACAUGCCUGUAGUACACGGUGACUGUCAGGUCCUCUAUAACAGAUGAAGCACAGAGGACCCUCAACAAAUGUUCGCUGAUUUCAAGAAAAUGGACGAUGGGCUCGGCUGGCAUUCAUGCGAAACUAUGAGACUUACCAUCAAGGCUGUUGCAUUGUGCUGGAGUUUUAUCAGUGAGGAGUGUGAUGAAUUGUCUUAGGGUACUCAGAGGACUGGCUGAUUAUCCCCCCAACAGUGCCUGGGUCACAAAUUCCCAGCUGUCAAAUUACCAUCUGCAUGCCUAGGGUCAGGGCCAAUCCCUCCCAGAGAGACAGUUGGCAGGGCCACUGUGUCAGUAAUGUCAUGUACCCAAGCAUGACCUUAAGCUGCCCUCAGAGUCCAGCCCCAUCCUGCUCAGCUCUUGAGCUCUGUUAUCAGGCCUGUGCAUGCUUGAACCCCUCCUCCCAUAGAUGAAUUGGGUUGUAUAAGUAUUAAAGGUUGCUGGAUUUCCAUGAUGCUCUCUGAGAAUUUCAGAAGGCUCCAUAUCACAGAUAUUCUUCAGAUGUAAAAUGUAUCACAAAAGAUGCAUCAAGACCCACUAGUAGUGUAUGAAGGUACUUAUAUAAACAGAUAACCUGGGCAAAAAAAUUUGCCUCUUGGGGAGUUGACUUUGGAGAUGAAAGAUAUGGGAAAUUCUAAUGUCCUUUGAACAGCUGUGUUGGGAAUUUAGAAAGAUGGUAUCUUGGGUACAGGCUUUUUAAAGGUACACCAAACCCUGGGAAGCAUCUGAUUCAAUAUAUUCAAUAUCUAAGGUUCAGAGAAGUUAAGUGACUUUCUCAAGGAUCAUCACUAGCUUAAGGCAUCUUAGUGUUAAAAUUAGCAACCUGGGCUUAGAAUUGAAGACAAUUUCAUAGGGCUUUCCAUGGUACCAUAUUGCAGUUCCUUUUAAUGUCUGGAUAUUCAUGAUUUCAAAAGCAGCAAUGGGGACAAGAUUACGAAAGAGAACGUUUACUGAGAAAUGUUUGUGUGCUUUGCAUGAUACUAAAUACUUCAUACACAUGAGCAUAUCUAAUUCUUAAAAUGUUCCUUCGAGGUGGGUAUUAAAAGCUAGAUUUCGCAGGAAAGUAAAUCAAGAUCCAUGGAAGUGGCUGGACCAGCAUACUGAUUUGGGGCACAUUAAUUUGCCUACAAAGACCAUACUUAGUCUAUGUUACCACACCCCCGACUGCCCCAUCAGAUUAGCCCAGAGAACUCAGCAGGUAGGCCUCUGUGCUGGUAAACUGCCAGAGUAAAGGGCACUGAGUUAGGACCAGGGGAUAUCACCAUGACUUUGAUCCAUUGUAGAAGCCUGCACAGUCCUUCUUUGAUGAUCAGUGAAGCCAUAGCAAAGUUAAAAAUAGAAAAGUUACUAGGAAAGAAUAAUGGAUUAUAAAACCUAAGCCAUGAAACAGUGCUGGCCUCAUCCUAAACCCCUAGUUGCUGCUUCCAUCCUUUUUAAAUUCACCCACUGAAUGACAACUUCUUUAUCCAAUAUUGAAAGGGCUCUUUUAAUAUUUUCAAAAUGGCUGAAUGAAAAACAAACUUAAUUUCAAGAGUCUUAGAGCGCAGGACAAGUACCAAUAGGUAGAAAGUAAAAGAAAGCAGCUUCAAGGUAAAAGGAAGAACUUUCUAGCAAGUGGAUCCGUGUGACUGUGUGAUGGGUUACUUCAGAAAGAACUAAGUUCUCUCCCUUGGAUGUGCUUAAACAAAGGUUUGGAACUACACUGGGGAUUUGACAUUAGAUAAAUGUUGACUUGGAUGGUCUCCAAGGUCCUUUAAGAAUAUGAGAGUCCAUGACAUGGCAUCAACAAUGAGAUGAUCAAUAGUUGAUUGGACCCUUUGACUUUUCUAACCUGUCGCUGCAACACCUCUGCUUGGUUUGCAUCAUCACCAUUAAUGCUGAAGAACGCUGUAGUGAAUCUUAAUCCAUUUUCACUUGGAAACAUUUCCCUCCCAUCCGAGCCAACUCUGGUCUGCCAUUCAGCGCCAAAAGAAGGCUUUAGGAAAGAAGAGCCAAGCCCAAGAAGUACGUAUGGUUGUGCUUGAGGAAUGGGGGAUCUGAAGGGUAGAGAAGGUGGAAGCCACAAGGAGGCAGGACUGUCUGAGUCCUUUGCAGGUAGUGACUUCUGCUUGCUGAAAGUGGCCCAGCUGAGGUCUGCUAUGACUAGAGCUAGGGAAGGACUCAGAUGUCAUGUGAGAAUCCAGGUCAUUGCCUCUUUCAGGUCCCUUCCAAUCUAAGACUCUGUGUUUUUUAAUGAGGAGCCAUUUAGGCACAGGAACAGAGCCACCACCCUUUCAGGUGAGGCACCCUUCUCACUUUCUCCAAAGUAGUACAUCUACUGAAGUAAACUAUAUGCCAAUCCUAUGACCUAGCAAUCCACUUCUCGGUAUGUACAAUAGAUAUGGGAUUUGAUGUCCUCCAAAAGACAUGAUUAAGAAUGUUCAUGGCCACUUUCUUUGUAAAAGCUCCAAGCUGGAAACAACCUGUCAUGUACAUCAACAGUAGAAUGGGUAAGAAAAUUGGGGUGUAUUCAUACAAUGAAAUGCCAUGCAGCAAUGAAAAGGGGGUGAAUACUGAUACAUAAAACAUUGAUGUGUCUCAUAGACAUAAUAUGUAGCAAAAGAAGUUAGACAUCAAAAGAAUACAUACCAUCUGAUUCCAUUUAUAUGAACUCUCAAAGUCAUUUACAGUGAGAGACGUCUGAACAGUAAUUAUCUAGCAGGGUUGGUGGGGGUGGAUAAUGGACUGAGGUAGGUCAUGAGAAUGAUUUGGGGAUAGCUGGAAAUAUUCUGUGUCUUAAUCUCAUGGUGAGUAAGUAUAAAAAUUCAUGUAAUGGUGAUCUUUCUAUUUUACUGCCUAUAAGUUAGAUCUCAAUAUAAAAAAACUGGAAAAGAAAAAAAAAAGAGAGAUAGCACUUUCUUUCCCAUGGAGACUGGGUUAUGUUUUUGAAUUCUGCCAGCAUUCCAAGUUAAGGGAAAUUAUCCUAUCCUGUUGCUUUGGUAAACUGGUCCUUGAGCAAAAGAAAGUAUUGGACUGGUGCUACUGUGACCACUAAUCAUGGAAGAUAAUAUAAUGUUAUUGUAUAGAUGUCAAA